rnacentral:rRNA from 1 species
UACAGAGGAGCCAAGCGUUGUCCGGAUUGACUGGGCGUAAAGCGCGUGUAGGCUGCUUGGCAAGUCGGAUGUGAAAGCCCUGGGCUCAACCCAGGAAGUGCAUUCGAAACUGCCGAGCUGGAGUCCUGGAGAGGAAGGCGGAAUUCUCGGUGUAGAGGUGAAAUUCGUAGAUAUCGAGAGGAACACCGGUGGCGAAGGCGGCCUUCUGGACAGUGACUGACGCUGAGACGCGAAAGCGUGGGGAGCAAACAGG